CGACGCCCCCUGAAGGCUACAUAGGCUCUCCUACCCAACUCCUAUUCUGGUAUGUCCAAGCCAUACAGACCGUGUACAUGUAGCCCCGUUUAUCCGAGCUUGGGUAAACGGGUCCAAUCCCAACCCCUUGGGAGGGGCAGAAGGGGGUUGAGCAGUCCGGG
rnacentral:ribozyme from 1 species